GAUCAUGGCUCAGGAUGAACGCUGGCGGCGUGCUUAACACAUGCAAGUCGAGCGAAGCGCUUAAGUCUGAUUCUUCGGAUGAAGACUUUUGUGACUGAGCGGCGGACGGGUGAGUAACGCGUGGGUAACCUGCCUCAUACAGGGGGAUAACAGUUAGAAAUGACUGCUAAUACCGUAUAAGACCACGGUACCGCAUGGUACAGUGGUAAAAACUCCGGUGGUAUGAGAUGGACCCGCGU
rnacentral:rRNA from 1 species